rnacentral:rRNA from 1 species
UACGGAGGGGGCUAGCGUUGUUCGGAAUUACUGGGCGUAAAGCGCACGUAGGCGGCUUUGUAAGUUAGAGGUGAAAGCCCGGGGCUCAACUCCGGAAUUGCCUUUAAGACUGCAUCGCUAGAAUUGUGGAGAGGUAAGUGGAAUUCCUGGUGUAGCGGUGAAAUGCGUAGAUAUCAGGAGGAACACCUGUGGCGAAAGCGGCUCACUGGACCAUAACUGACGCUGAUGCACGAAAGCUAGGGGAGCAAACAGG